CUUGGGCCUGGGGCUGCCUCUGCCUUAGUUUCCCCCCCCUCACAGGUGCUGAGGAAACUGGCAGGAGACUAAACAGGCUCAGGUUUGGUAGUAAAGAUGUUUUCGGCCAAUGUCAGAGACAGUGAGUCAACAAGGUUUCUCAAAAGCACUCUCUCUCUGGUGUCAGCUUCAACCAUAGGAAAGAACAAACAGAAAAAAGGCUCUCUUGCCCUUCAAGAGAUUGCUCGCCUGCAAGAGGAAGGAGAUAAAGAGUUCAAAGCCAAGA